GGCAGCAGUGGGGAAUUUUGGACAAUGGGGGCAACCCUGAUCCAGCCAUGCCGCGUGAGUGAAGAAGGCCUUCGGGUUGUAAAGCUCUUUUGGCGGGGAAGAAAUGGCAACGGCUAAUAUCCGUGGUUGAUGACGGUACCCGCAUAAGAAGCACCGGGUAAAUAUGUGCCAGCAGCCGCGGUAAUAUGUAGGGGGCGAGCGUUUUUUUGAAUUAUUGGGGGUAAAGAGUGCGCAGGCGGUUUUGUAAGACUGAGGUGAAAUCUCCGGGCUCUACCUUGGAAAUGCGUUUGUGACUGCGAGGCUAGAGUACGGCAGAGGGGGGUAGAAUUUCCCGUGUAGCAGUGAAAUGUGUAGAGAUGUGGAGGAAAACCGAUGGCGAAGGCAGCCCCCUGGGUUAGUACUGACGCUCAUGCACGAAAGCGUGGGGAGCAAACACGAUUAGAUACCCCGGUAGUCCACGCCCUAAAAGAUGUCAAUUAGGUGUGGAAGGGUUAAACCUUUCAGUACCGCAGCUAAC
rnacentral:rRNA from 1 species